rnacentral:rRNA from 1 species
UACGGAGGGUGCAAGCGUUAUCCGGAUUCACUGGGUUUAAAGGGUGCGUAGGUGGGCUGGUAAGUCAGUGGUGAAAUCCCCGAGCUUAACUUGGGAACUGCCAUUGAUACUAUCAGUCUUGAAUACCGUGGAGGUCAGCGGAAUAUGUCAUGUAGCGGUGAAAUGCUUAGAUAUGACAUAGAACACCAAUUGCGAAGGCAGCUGGCUACACGAAUAUUGACACUGAGGCACGAAAGCGUGGGGAUCAAACAGGAUUAGAAACCCCAGUAGUCC